CCUACGGGCGGCAGCAGUGGGGAAUAUUGGACAAUGGGGGGAACCCUGAUCCAGCGACGCCGCGUGAGUGAAGAAGUAUUUCGGUAUGUAAAGCUCUAUCAGCAGGGAAGAAAGAAAUGACGGUACCUGACUAAGAAGCCCCGGCUAACUACGUGCCAGCAGCCGCGGUAAUACGUAGGGGGCAAGCGUUAUCCGGAUUUACUGGGUGUAAAGGGAGCGUAGACGGCGAUGCAAGUCUGAAGUGAAAGGCGGGGGCCCAACCCCCGGACUGCUUUGGAAACUGUAUGGCUGGAGUGCAGGAGAGGUAAGUGGAAUUCCUAGUGUAGCGGUGAAAUGCGUAGAUAUCAGGAGGAACACCGGUGGCGAAGGCGGCCUGCUGGACUGCAACUGACGUUGAGGCCCGAAAGCGUGGGGAGCAAACAGGAUUAGAUACCCGUGUAGUC
rnacentral:rRNA from 1 species